UCCCAGAGAAAUAAGGUAUGCCUGGAAGA
rnacentral:piRNA from 1 species